ensembl:lncRNA
GCCAGAGUCUGAGACUGCUUUGUCUUCAACCUCUCUAAUUGGUCACAGUUGCUGUGACUCUGAUCCUAAAAGCUGCUGAAUAAACCUCUUCCCGGUGCAAGUUCUGGCAUACCGAUUUCCUUUCUUUUAUAUUAUUUAAUACAUACUUGCUAAUCACUUAAAGUGUUUAUUAAUCAUUCCUAGCUUUGGGUUUUUUUAUUUUGUUUUUUAUUUUUUUAUUUUAAUGAGGUAACUUUUGGGUAUAAAGACCAUUCUGUCUCUCAAUUGUUGAGCUGUCCUGAAGAUGAUGGCAGCUCUGUUGGGCAUUCAUAAUGUGUUCCUUGCCCUGGAUUAAUUCAGAAUUUUAUUUUAUACUUUGACACAAGUAAGGGUUCCAUCAUCAUCUUCAAGACAAUUAAAAACAUCAAAAUAGUGACUGAUAAGGGAUUGCAUUCAUCAACCUUGCUGUCAGAAUCUACAUUUGCGUUGUUUUGAACAGUAGUUUGUUUAACCUGUUCUCAAAGGUCUUCUGUGGGGAGGACUCCAGACUCUCCGCAGACAGCUACUUCCACAGCUUCAGUGUCUUCACUAUUAGGAAGAUCUUACUAAUGUCUGACCUGAAUAUCCUUGGUUUCAGUGUAGAUCUGUUACCUUCUUGUGUUCCACCAUAGACUUGAAACGCGAACUCUUUCCUACCCCUCUGCAGAAUGCUUUUUCAAAUUUGAAGUCUUUGUUUAUGUCUUUCUCUUCUUCUUGAGAUGAAAUCAUCCCAGUCCAAAUUUUCUUGCAAGCUGCACUUCCCAGGGUUCUGAUAAUCCCCACUCCACUCCUUUGGACAGUGCCUGUCACACGCUUCUUUCUUGAAAUGCAUUGCUUUAACUGGGCCUGUAGCAGUGCUCAGCUGAGCAGAUUGAAUACUGCCUGUGUCUUAUAAGGAAACUUUUAUCUGCAGAGCUCCCAGCAGAUUUCUCUCUCCUAUCCAGUUACAUUUCUGAUUUUGUCUGCUGGUGCUCUGGGGAGGAAGAAAGAGAUUGUCCCUCAUUCAGAAUGAAACUUCUGCAUCAUUUUGUCCUCUUUCACUUGAGAGUUCUAAAAAGUUCCUCAGACUCUGCUUAAGAUGGAAAGGGUCCUGGGCUUAAUCUUUUGGGGGAGAUUGGAAACCAAGCUUUGUCUGGAUGAGUGAAACAGAUAAUUUUGGUCUCAUACAGUUUUCCUUUUGUCUUUCUUUCCAAUGUGAAAAUCUUCUAAAAAUAUCAUGUUUACCUUUUAUCCUUACCUUUUUUUCAUAUCAUUACCAAUGUUAGUAAUUCAGGCAAAAGUGAUGUAAAAAUGCCAUUCUGCACACACACACAAAAAGAAACAUCAAAAACUAGAUAUCAUGAAUCUCCACCUUUAAAAAAAUAUUUACGCAGAAAAAAAUGAGGGUUGUCAUGGUCAUUUUAAGACUUCAUUUUAAAGUCAGUAAAAAUCUUGUAAGAAGAAAUCUCACCCAGUUCCACAGUGGUUGCCCUCCUUGAUGAGAAAUAGGAUUCUCUGUUCCGGGGAGAAAGAGACAUCAAACUUUUAAAUCCUAC